GUACCGGUGACGGUGCUUCGGGAGGAAGCUGCCCUGCCGAGGCUGGGUGCCGCAAAGGUACGGGGUGACGAACAGAAAUCGAGUCAGGCGUGCAUUGUGGGACGAGCCUGCAACACAAGGCAAAGUCCUCUAUCCAUCUCAGGCAAUGUCCGUAUACUCGGCAUCCAUGUAUCGAAAGACGUGUGU
rfam:Desulfotignum phosphitoxidans DSM 13687 Dpo_1c, whole genome shotgun sequence.